AAAAAUAUGAGAUAGCGUAAAAAAUAAUACACGAGCUCGGGCCCUAUUUAUAGAUUUACAAGCGGAGGGGUAAAAUAGUAAAAACAUCUUCGGUACAUGCGUCCUGCGUGGUGGAAGGGUACGUUGGUAAUUUCGAUAAUACGCGGGAGACCUUCCCGCGCGUUUAUUGGCUCCUCUGAUGGAAGUGUCUUCUCUGGCGAAGGCGUCUUCUCUGGUGAUAUUGACAUCUCUGGCAUGAGGGAUUCCUCUGGUAAACACGUCUUC
rnacentral:lncRNA from 1 species